rnacentral:rRNA from 1 species
GCUUAUGGCCAUACAACCAGGGAAAUGCACAAUCUCAUCUGAUCUUGGACGCUUGGCAAAGUUCGGCUCGGUUAGCACUUGGAUGGGAGACCGCAUUGGAAGUGUUUAAGAGUUCUGGCUGUAAUUA